GCAGGGCUGAAGACUGCGGUUUUUUUAAUCAGUGGUUUACAUAGCCAGACACCAGGCAGAAAAGAAAAGGGUGGUCUUCCCUUUAAAGUGAUUAUAAUCGUGUGCUAAGUUUUUUUUUUUCCCCAUAACAUAUCAUUAUUCAAGGGAAAUACAAAG